UAGAGGACACUCCAACACAGAAGGACAACCCCCUGAAGACACAGGAAGAGCUGACCAUCCAGCAUUUAGAAAGAGAUCCCUCAGAAGAAAGCCACCCUCAAAUCCGCUGUCCUCAAUUUUCCAGAUGAUAUCUUCAAGGACUUGACUGUUAGACCCUCUUGCCCAAGACACAUAUUCAAAGAAUGUGGAUAAAUCAAGCUAAGGCUGUCUCAGCAGUUUGUGUUGGAAGGUGCCAUGUAAUCUACCAAAGCUCUCCUCCUUUGGCUUAGGGAUUAUCUCAGAAAAGGCAGAAAGAUUGCCAGACCCAGAAGUGGUGGAUGUCUAAAAGAAAAGCAUGUUUUCCAACACAAGAGGGCACAACAGGUAAGACGUGAUACACAAAAAAUGCACAAGCUCUUGACAGACAAUUCUGAGCAUGGAGAAGAGAGGUGGGCAUGAUAUUUCACUCCUGGCUAUGGAGUUACUGGCAUUUGGUAACUUCUGGGAAAGGAAGAUUCAGUUUUAUUUAAGGGUAUGAUCUCAACUAGGUGGG